UGGAAGAAAUUUAAAGACUAUCUUCAGAAACAUUGCAAAAUUAAAGAAUGUUAGAGUGAUGUUGGACUGAAAAUAAGCGGUUUCGUGCUGUACAGGUUAAAGUUAAUGAUAGACUAAGAUUAAAGAUUAGGAUUAAAGAUGUUUAAAGAAAUGGAAAUUUGACAUUAAGAGGGAAAAUUUUAACGUUAUAUGAUACUAAGACCAAAGAUCAGGUUUAAAGAAAUUGAAGUUAUAUAUUUCAAUAUCUUAUUAAAGCUAAAGAUUGGG